GUUUGUUCGAUCCAUUUAAGUAACACUUAUGAUGACAAGGAUGAUGUUGAUAAAUGUAAGAGCCAGGCAAAGUACCGAGGGCCUUUCACGUGGUGUCACACCUGAAGAUACCGUGUCUCACGUGGGUUUUAUUUUUCUCCUUUUACAGGCGGGGAACCGCAUUUCUGAGAAGAUGAAUGACUUUCUCGAAGUCACCUAAAGAGCAGAGUUCCAUCCUGGAGCUACGAUUUCCCUCACUUCCUCUAGUGCCUAAGAAAAUUCAUCCACAUUCCGUGGUUUCAACCUCUAUAGAAAUAUGCUGGUGACUUCGGCCCGGACAGCUCUGCAAACUUCAGACGCACAUAUCCAACAGCGGCCGACUGGACGUCUCCUCCUGCUCACUGCAAAGUCGCCUGCCCACCUGUCACCAGUUGACAUUGGACUGGAUGAAGUUGGGAGAACAGACUCUGUCCGCACCACGGGAUCCCCAGUGCUCAGCCACGGUUGUCCACACCAGCACUCGGAAAAGCACGAGGGAGGAGGGAGCCAGGAAGGAGGCUUGCACACACCCCUGCCUGUCUUUGAUGUGCAGUCUUGGCUCUGCUCCAUCCCCACCCAGGCUGGUGGGAGCGCAGCUGGUCACCACGUGCAGCGGGCAGCGUGGGGUUGAGGGGGCGCCUCCCCUGAUCCAAGUGUAGAUCCCACCACGGAGUGGAAAAUCCACCUCCUUGACUAACGGGGGGAGGGGAGGUGGCCCUGGCAUCCCCCACCCCCACCCCGCCACCCCCAGUAAACCGGAAAUUCUGGAUUUGAAUCCUCCAUCAGCCACACAUUAGCAGCCGUGACCCUGAGCGAGUUCCCCCUGCUCCCAGGGGAGCUGCACCACCAAGUCAGUCCCUGGGGCUCGAGGGCUGCUGUGAGGACAGAGGACUGAACCACACAAAGAAUCCUCGCAAGAAGAUCCCACAGCACCCACAAGGCUAGCAGCCCGCUGGCUCCCAGCUCUACCCACGGGAAUGCAGAAAACAGCACGCUAUUCACUCACAAGGGCCUCGUCCACGUCAGGGCACCUGCAAGCUGCUUCCUGCUCAGUGAAUGACAUCUGUCCCCUCGGCAUCUGAGAGCCCAGCGCCUGAGGAUGGAGAGGCCCCAAGGAUGGAGAGGCCGCUGAGGGUGGCAAGGCCCUGAAGAGGCCUGGGGUGUGGGCCCUCAGGGAGCUUGGCUGCUGCCCCCCACCCUGCUCGUCUGUCCAGACCAACAGCAGGACUCUCACCCAUGACCCCUAACAUCAAACGGUCCCUCCAGCCUUUGCACUAAGUGGCUUCAGGAGCCCAGCUGUUUCUGGAAGAGAACCUUGUUGCCCCUCUUUUCCAGGUUUUGACUCCCUGGUGGUUGUCUAGGAG
ensembl:lncRNA